AAAUAAAUAAAAUAAAAUAAAACUUUGGAGCACCUGAAUGUUUGGUUUUCCCUGUGGGCUUAGAGAGCUUACCUGUGGCAAGGCUUAUCAAUGGCAUAUCAGUCAGGCUGGUUCUUGUUAUAUGAAGGAGAAUAAGAGGUCUUUAUGAAGGGAACUCAUGAAGACCACUAACAACACAUGAAAAGAAAAAAAACAGUAACUUAAAGCAUUCGGGAACAUCCAGUUGAGUCCACAGCAGUCUCACGGCAUAUCCCUUCAAAUCAUAGACUCAGUUUUCACUGCGUAAUGAUAUCAAUAUGGACCAUCCAAAUCAUGGAUUGAGCAGAGGCCAAAAUAGCACCAACUGGACAAUCUUGACCGUCCAAUUGGACCAUGAUGUGAUAAUCAAAUGGAUGCUUAAAAGAUGAAUGGUUAGCUGUCCUACUUCAACUAAGAAAAUGAUUGUUAAGGUUGUAUAAACAGUUGGAAAUUUCAGGCUCUGCUCCAUUUGCAAUGGGCACAUGAUUUGGAGCGGCCGGGGCUGGCAUGCAUACGCAUGGGGUUUGCAAUUGUAAGGCCUGGAAAGCUCCCUGGUCUGAUAUUGAAUUGUUUGGGCUGGGACUAUACGAAAGUUCAGCAUUUGCUCAGCCCAAACCUGGUCCGUUACCAGCCCUACAUGCAAUCCAGUCACUUUUAUCUUCUAGACAUACAAGUAUUUCUGUUUGUUUUUUUGUAUUUCUAUGCAAUGCUAUCUGAUGUGUACAAUGCUGAUGCUUUCAAAUGAUAAAAGUCUCUGGCGAGACAAUCCUAACCGUUAGAUUGUUAACCUUUAACUCGAUAAUAAAAGACGAGGUUAAUUCACUCUUA